GUUUCCGUUUCAACGAAAACAAACAAACACAACUUCACCGUGACUGUCACAGCGAACGCUUAUAUUUUACAUCUUUAAAACGACCUGAUGUCAGAAGAAGAAGAUGCCCUAGAUCCCCUGUUGCAGGAUGACCCAAACGAUCAUGCAUUCAGUAUAAAUACGUACAUGGUAUUGACAUCCCAAUAUUUAGUGGGAAGUUUCCAGGUAUCAUCCGCUAGCGACAGUCUACUGACAAAUCCAGACAUGCAUUGGAAGGAUGCUGAUGUGGAGGACACAGGAACACCUGAUCCCAGAACUGUGGCAUUUCAUUCGGGGUGACAACCUGGCUUUCAGUUGAUAUGGGACUCUAUUAUUCGGAAAACUGCAGAUUUUAUGAAGCUGUCUUUGACAGAAGAUUUGGUUUUCUCCAUCUGUGUUGCCACCAACCAUUAUGCUGAGAUAGUCAUAACUAGGGGGAAGGGUUGCCAUAUACUUCCCAAAGAAGUUUGCAGCCUCUCACUGAAGAGGAACUGUACAGAUUUUUGUGCAUUAUCUUAUACACGCCUGCUGUGAAGUUCCAGUCGAUAGACAGAUAUUGGUCAACGCAUGCCCCUGUCGGAACAACUCGUUAUCAAGAAUUAUGUCUAGAAAUAGGUUUCAAGGUUGAAUAUAAGAACAUAUUUGUUAAAUAUGAUGCAAGUACAUUUAAAUCUAGUGAUUGAAAGUAAGUACUUGAACAUUCGUUUAUGUUGAACUUGGAGAGGAAAAAUGGUUAGUACUUUUUGAUAACAUUUGAUAAGGUGUUGUUGCUUAGCAACCAAAUAUAAUUGAAUAAAAAUAGAUUAUUUUAGAUUAACAAUUAUUGAAAGAUCUUUGUUUUAAUGUUGCAAUACUUAUUAUAUUUAAUGGAACAUAAUGGCAAAACGUCAUAUUAUUAGAAAAAGAUGGACAAGUAUAUAAAGUACGAAGUUUCCAUUUGAUGACCUUUGAUCUUAAUUCUCUUGAUUAUAUUUUUUGUUAAAAACCUUUUAAAAUGAUUAAGAUCUAUUUAAAGAUUAUAUUUUUAAAAUAAUGUGACAUUUACUAAUCAUCAUGGAUUGUAAUUACGUUUAAAUUGUGUCGAAUGGAUGCAGAAAGGCAAAUUAUGGUCAAAAUUGUACUAUGAGUGUUGUUACUUAGCAACCAAAAAUAUUUGUUUGUCAAUAAAAUUGAUUAGUUUGA